rnacentral:lncRNA from 1 species
UCCUCUUCGUCCUCCUCCUCCCGCUCGCUCCCAUAAGCAUUGCCCUCCUCGUCCGUGCGACUACGGGGAGCCCACGUCAUCUUGUUCUCCUUCUUGAGGCGCCGGCGCGCGUUGGCGAACCAGGAGGGGAGAGCCGAGACCACGAGUGGCGGCUUAGUACAGGGUCACCUAGCCCCUCAGGUCUUCCAACUCCUCAAUUCUCAGCCCCCUUCGAAGCUGUAGUUCCGGGUUGGGACAGGACCCUGGACCAAGGAUGGUGAGUCUUUUAAGACAGCCGGGACGACCUACCUACACAGAACUGGACCAGACCAAUGGGCGACAGAGCCAGAUUGCAAGGAGGGAAAGAAAAACAAAACGCAACACCACACAACAACACCACACAAGAGCCUCUGAGAUGCUCCUUCCUUCCUUACUGCAUUAACCAGCUAUCGACCUGGUUGUGUCCGAUUGCGAUGAUGGGCUGAGAGAAAGAACACCGGAAGAGCCAGGCUGUUCUCAGGAAGGACUCACGCCGGCCACGGGGCCGCCCCUGGCCCAGAGGGUGAACCUCUAGACCCAGGCAUGAACCUAAGAACCUCGCUUAAUUAGAUUCCUCCAGGCAUCCCAGGCCUGGAGUAGAAACAGCUACCAGUUACCCCGUGACCAACUGGGAAGAGCUUUGGUCUGGCCCUGAAAUCAGCAACCCACGCCGGGACCCAGUAUCCCAAGCGACUGGAGUCACUGCAUGGCUCUGAUUCCUCAACAAGACCAGGCCAGCACAGUGCACAAAGCGCUCGCCGCGGACGCUCUGUGGUCUGGGAUCAGGGCGCCAGGAGCAUACAGAAAAGGUGUACGCCGAGGACACGUGGCGCACGAAGCUGUGCGCGCUGGAGGACAACUACAAGGGGUGCCCUAUGUGUAGCCAGAGGCCCACCAGCUUCGGGGUCGGACACUCCGAACCACCAGCCCCCAUCUCUUCCCUCCCCUGGUCCAGCUCCCCGAUGUGCCCGUGCCCCCCGUCGUUGGGAGCUUCUGCAGCUGUGUCUCCCAGCUCGGACAGAGUUCACUCCUUUCCUCCCAAGGCUCAGAGUCCCCCAGAGGCGGUGCGGGCUGGCUAUCCUUCAGCUUCUUGCAGAGGCUGCUGCGUACGCUCCCCCCCCCCCCAGCUGGGGUUACAGGUUAAUGAAACGCUCGUUUUCCUCAGUCAUUUGUUUUGUUUUCCUGCAAAGUUCUGAUAAGUAGCUAACCAACGAAGCUUGUAAUUACAAUCUUACAGAAACCGGGCCGAUCUGUAUAUAAAUCUCACCAUCCAAUUACAAGAUGUAAUAAUUUUGCACUCAAGCUGGUAAUGAGGUCUAAUACUCGCGCAUGCGAUAAUCCCCUCUGGAUGCUGGCUUGAUCAGAUGUUGGCUUUGUAAUUAGACGGGCAGAAAAUCAUUAUUUCAUGUUCAAAUAGAAAAUGAGGUUGGUGGGAAGUUAAUUUCUCUCCGCUCUGUGAAGCGUAGACAAGAAUUUAAUGAUUUAAUUACAGUUGUAAGCCCUUUCCAUGAGAGCCACACGGACUUGCAGAUGCAUGGCCUGGCGUAGCACCGGGAGGAAUUCACAUUUGACUGUGAAUCCGGCCUCGGAGCAUCCCAGGAGGCGCGGGCCGGGCGCCGGCACGUCUGCCGUGCAACGCUGGCUGAGCCCUGUAAGCCGUCAGGGCCCGGGAGGCUGUCCCUGGUCCAGAGGCGCUACGGGAAACUUUGAGGCAAACUUUGCAAACUUCUUUCUCGGAGUUAAGAGAGGCCGCCGGUCAGAAAGGCUGCGGCGGCAGCAGCGUGGGCCCCAGGCCGGAUUUGUACACCGCCGAACUGGCCCUGCGGCCCCAGAAGGAGCGCGAGGCUCUCCAGCGUGCCCAUCUCUGCCUGCACCUCCCGGACCAGGGCCCCUGCCACUGGCCUUCGAGUGGCCAGCUCUACGCAGCUCCCGGAAUCUCAGCAUGGAAGGAAAACCGUGGCCCUGUGCACCAGUGGUUUUGUUUCUCUUUCUCUCUGCAAAAACAUCCACUUUCCACCUGCGCUGAGCUUUUUCGCUGAUCUUUUUUUUUUUCUUUCUUUUCCGUCCUGUCUAUUUCUCACACUUUCUGUAUGUUUGAUUUCCGGGGAUGUAUUUUUCUCUUUCUUUGAGUCCAAGUGUGUUGUUCGAUCCUUUUAUUUUUAUUUUCCUGGACCGUUUUCUUAAAGCUCAUUCUUUUUUGCCUCUCCCUUCCGUGUCUCUGCCCCCCCCCUCCUCAGUUUCAUCUUCUUCCUUUUCUCCCUCCCUCUCUUACCCCAUCUGCCCUAUUUCAAUCUUGAUCUACCCCAGGCUCUCCUUUGCUGGUUUCUUCUCUUUUCCUUUCCUCUACAGUCUGUCCCCUCCCCCGCCCGUGGAUCUGCUUCUCGGGCAUCCCCUCCCUCCUCAUCCAUCUUGGGAGAUGAAUAUGUCGCCUUAUUGGAUGCGGAGGCCAAAGCAGGGCAAUGGGGCUCGGCCAACGCCGCACAUUUUCUUCAUGCAUAUUGAGAAUAUGGUAAUGAGCGCGUUUGCAUUGUUGCAUGGAAAUGAUGCGACUCCCUCUGCGGUGCGGAGUGGGCAAGGUUGGUGUGGACCCAAGAGAGCUCGGUAGUGGGGACUGGGCCUGGUGGCCAUAGUGACCCACGGGGGGACAAGGACGUGACCUCUAGGAGCGCCCUGCUCUCCCUCCGCCUGCUCUGGCUUCCAGAAAGGCGUCACUACCCGGGUUAAACCUUGGAGAAGGGAAGCCAGCCUCGCUUGCCCGCCCGGUUGUAGCGUCCCUGGUCCCGGCCUGAAAACCCUUCCCCGCUAUUUUAGAGUUCUGGGAAGGAGAGUCUGUUCUCUAAUGGCUACACAUUGUUUGCAACUUGAGUGAUCCUUUAGGAUGAAACACGGCCCUACGCCAUCCGGCGGGCGGGUGGACAUCGUUUGCCCCGCCAGGUUGAACUCUGGCCAGUUGGCCCUCAGCGGGGAUAAGGUUGAACACCCCUCCCCCCAGUUAUCCAACAGAGGCAGCUCUUCCCCGAGGCCAGCCAAGUUCAGGUGAAGGGACCCAGGGCCUGCAGAAGGGUGAAAUUCUGUUGAAGCAGGCCAGGCUCUGCCUGGGACUGGGAAGGAAGCCAUGUUACACUUGCUGGGAGCUCAGAGCCCCGGAACCCCUAUUUAGCAGUCAAACCUCACCACAGCUCACCUCAGGACAUUUUCCUGCCUCCUUCUCCCCCAUUUCCUAUUCGGGAAGUCCCUAGCAGGGGCUCCAGGGCCGAAAUGCAUUGUGGAAAGGCAGCUCUGAAUAGGGUCAGGUUUCCCAACCUUCUAGCAUUCUGCCCGUGGCUAAGGACUGAAGAGUUUCGCUUCAACCGAGUGCUUUUCAAAACUCAAGUGUCUCUUUCUGGGAAAGCGUUUGAUCCGUCCCCUACUUCGGCAAACUGGAAAGUAGCGGUUAGCAGAAAGGAAACCUAGCUAGGAGCAAACCAUGCUCCUAAGCCUUGCACCUUCCCACUUGGGGUUCAAGUGCUUCCUGUGUUAUUAACAAGGCAGCUUUGGGUGUGUGAGUAGUGACUCUUGGAAGACAAGAGCAUAAAAACGAAUGUUUCUUCCUUGGUCCUCUUAUGUCUUAAAAUGAUGUCAGGGGUCUCAAGGGCUGUCCUGGUUUGUGGCUUGGUGGUGGUGUUUUCUGCUAAAACCAGUGUGAAAAUGUGAAGGCAAAACCAACGUGCUGAAUUAUUACUGCAAAUAAGCUCAUUUAAACGUUUUUCAGGC